ensembl:rRNA 5S_rRNA 5S ribosomal RNA
UGUCUAGGCCACACCACCCUGAACACACCCGAUCUCAUCUGAUCUCAGAAGCUAAGCAGGGUCGGGCCUGGUUAGUACUUAGUACUUGGAUGGGAGAACAUAUAUUUAUAUAC